CCCAUUUUUUCUUUUGAGACAAGAUCUCGCUCUGUUGACCAGGCUGCAGUGUAGUGGCAUGAUCUCAGUUCACUGCAGCCUGGACCUCCUGAGCUCAAGUCAUCCUCCUACCUCCACCUCCAGAGCAGCUGGGAGUACAGGUGCACACGAUUAUGCCCCGUUAUUUCCUUUUUUUUUUUUUUGGCAGAGAUAGGGGUCUCACUAUGUUGCCCAGGCUGGUCUCGAACUCCUAGACUCAAGCAAUUCUCUUGCUUCAGUCUCCUAAAGUGUGGAGACUACAGGCGUGAGCCACUGUGCCUAGCCCCCCUUUCUUCAUUACUGCGCUUCCCUCCCUAAUUCUGUACAUAUCUCUCAUUCUCCCCCUUCUCUCUCUAGCUCUUGUUUUCUUUUCUUUCUCCCUGGGAUUCUGCUCUUCAUUUUGUACCCCUCUUCUCUUCUGCUGUUUAUCCCCCUUCUUCCCUCUAUUCCUUCUCUUCCAUCUCUUCUGCUCCAUCCUCGCAACUUAUUUAACCUCUUAUUGCUCCUUCUCCCCAAUCUUUCAAUCGUCCUCAAUCUCCAUCUAUUUCUGCCUCUUCACCCAUCUCUGCGCCUCCUCUGCUCUCCCUGUUAAAUUCUCUCUUCCCUGAUAUACUCCCCUGUCCCCACUCUGUGUCACCCCAGAUCCCCAGGUGUCCUCCCUGCUGUGUUUCUCCCUCGGUUCUCCUUGACACCAGCACCACUCUGCUCUGUCUGCCCUGGCUCCAAAUCCCUCCCUCUCUCCCUCACUCUGAUGAGCCUCCCUCUUUGCUGCCACUCUCCCUACCUUGCCGUCCUUCAUCUCUGUGUACAUCUAGCUUUUCUCUACAUUUCUCCAGUUGCUUUUCUCCACCUGCUUUUCUAGGUUUUCUACUGCUGUCUGUCUCCUGAUCCCUUCGGCCCACACAAUCGCAGGAGGGUUUGGAGUAAGACGCCUGCAUCCCGGAGGAGCGCGUUUUCCAAGGGCUGGAGCUCGGCAGGCAAGAAGACCCCAUGUCACAGGACAGGGCCCUGCGUCCUUCCCAGUCAGACAGACCCGGGACGGGACCAGCCUCCAGACGACUUUAAACCCGAAAGGAAGCGACACCCGGCCUCUCACUGGGCUGUCUCAAUUUGCUCUGGGCGAAGGAAGACGGGCGAGAAUUUCCAG
rnacentral:lncRNA from 1 species